ACCUGUAUAGUUUAAAGGUUAAAACAUUUACCUCAUAAGUAAAUAAUGAAAGGUUCGAAUCCAUCUACAGGUA
rnacentral:tRNA from 1 species